UGGAAAACUAUUAAUAGUUUACAAAUUACAGUUUAUAAUCAAAAGCAAAUAAUUCUAGCCGAAUAUAAAUUCCAUCGUCCAUAUUCUUAAUUUGAAUUACAAAGGUAGAUUAUACACCUGCCUAUCAUUUGACUAUUAAACAUGCAAAUACAAAUUAAAUACUUGACUACUUGAGUAUUUCUUUUCACUACAACAGCCGCAUCACAAUGAUUCGAAAGUGUACCUGAUAGUAGAAACAGAAGAAGAAGGUGAAGAUCAGUAGACCAGUAGCUAACAACAGCGACAAUCAGCACCAAGCAGUACAACAACAACCAGUAAACCCAGCUCAAACGAAACUGAAAACCCAACAGUACCAAAAUGAAACACAGACAGAUGCAAGGAAACAAUAGUUUCUGAUUUUCAAAUACUUAAGAAAAGCAGCCUGACAACUCUUAGUGCAAAAGUUCAAACUCAACACUAACUCUUAAUGUAAAAGUUCUGAUUUUUUUUUGAAUUUGUUUCCUCUCCUUUUCCAGUAUUUUUCCCCCUUCUCUUUCAGUCUCCCUCCCUCUUUAUACAAUUUGCCCGACCCUUCUUCUUUUCAAAAACCAGAAUUUCCCACUAAAAAUCUGCUCUUUUUACUUUAAAUCCCAUUAAGGAAACCUUUUCCCUAAUUUUCAGCCCCCACUCCUUUUGUUCCCCAUUAUCACAUUAAAUUAAAGACAUUAACACUCCACUAAUAACACACUAAUACUAACAUAUUAUUCCUAUUGUUUCAUUCCCAAAUUGCCCCUGAAAACCACUGUGAUUUACUGUCCUAGCCCAAUACAACUACUGUAUCAAAAUCUGUUUAACUAGUCAAUUAACCAAAACUGACUUGAUUAACAGCUAAAACCAAUUCAGCCAGCAUUUUACGGCAGAAACUACAUCAAAUACGAAGGUUCCAGUGAUUCAGAAUAAUGCUCAUACUCAAAACAGCAUCUGAACUAACCGGAUGACUAAUAAUUUGAAAAUUAUAAACAACAGAAUGUCAAUUGAUUCAAACUAUACGAAUGACCUACUCAAUGAAACUUAAUUGAACGAUUACGUAUUACAACUGACAUUGAUCAAAUCAGCAAACAAAGAAAGAGACAAUUCGGGUAAUUUCAGUGUUAUUGACAGAAUUAAAAUGGAAACUAACUAAUCGACGCAACUUAUUAAUCGAUCACACACAUAAUAAUUACAGUAAUCAUAAACAAAUGACAAAUUUGGACCAAAUAAAAGGUCUAUUGAGAUGAGCAGAAUUAAUUGAUAAAAAUGGAAAAUUAAUAAAACUAAACUAAACAGAUACAUAGAUAGAAAAACAUGAAUACAAAAAUGAAUAAAAUACCUCAGAAACUCAGAAAUAUACGGACCCAGGCUCGAACUUGAAUUUGGACAUUUUUGAGGUCGAACAAACUUUAAUCGAAGUAUUAUCAACUGAGAAUACCUCGAUUAAGGUCUAUUAGACCCCAAAUCUUCAUUUAAUUGGACUGAUUCCAUGAUUUAGAUUUUUAGGGUUCUUGAGGGUCUGAUUUGGGGUUCGAACACUUUCGGCUUGAUUCGAACCAAACCUUCGUUGGUGUAGGCCUAAGGGGGGGGGGGGGGGAGGGGGGUUUGGGGGGUGGGGUAAGGAUUUGGGGCUUAUAUAGUGAGGGGUUGUUUUGAUCUUAACCGUUAAAUCUAUUACGAUCAAUGGUCAGGAUGAAAGGGGUUAAACUUAUACGGUGUCGUUUGGUUUAAACAGGGGUAUGGGUUGGCCCGGGGAGGGCAAAUUGGAUCGGGUUAUGGGGAGGCCUUGAAGCCAUUGGAUCAACAACGAUGAAUGGUCCUGAUCAAAUACAGCCAUACGACGUCGUUUGGUUUAACAAGAGAAUUGAACUGGAUCGUUAGAUCAUCUUGAUCGACGGUCCAGAUGGAAAGUUCCAAUACGACAUCGUUUAGGAUUGGCUGCAGGUGGACUGGAUUUGGCUGGGUAUAGAGAAAGUUUUGGGCCUCAUUUUUGGUUUAAAGUUUUUUGGCCCAGAUCUGAUUGGCCCUAUGUUUUUAAUUCUUUUCAUUUUCUUCUUUUAAUUAACACUUUAACAAAAAUUCUAAAAAUAAAAUAAUAAAUGUAAAACCAAAAUCAAACUACAAAAUAUUAACUCUUAUCAACAAUUAUCACACAAGUAAAAAUAUUUUAAAAAUAAAAUCACACGAUGACACACUUUAAAUGCAUAUUUUCUUCUUUUAAAACCAACUAUGGUUUAUUUAAUUCCAAAAUGUAUUUUUAUUUUAUUUUAUCCUUUUACAUAAACCAAUGAUUAAUUAAUUAUGAAAAUGCAACAUUAAUUCCUAAAUGCACAUGUACCUAUAUUACCAUUUUUAUGUAUUUUUCUUUAAUUAGAAUAAAAUAAACAUGUACAGAUAAAAUGCUACGAAAAAUUCAAAAUCGUAUACAAAGAAAAAUUAUUUAUGAUUUCUUUUGAAGUAAUUCUUGUGAGGCAAAAAUCACGUGCUCACAUGGCCGACUACUGUCUCUGAUGCUGUCUGUGCUACUGGUGGUGCAUGUGCUGCUAGGGGUGUUGUCUCCACGAGAAAGUCCAAUGGUAAAUCACCAGCAGAUGUAAUCUUCUCAAUCUCUUUUCUCAGCUUGUGCCACACCCCCUUUUUCCGUCCCCGCGGAGAGGAGUUUGGGUUUCGACAUUCAUGAGGUAUAAUGACUCAUUUCCUUUUGGGAGUUGGGUAUUGCGUUUUUGAAGAGUCACCACCUAACGAUUUUUAAGGUACAUUAGGGCACCUAGAGGGUUUAUCUACAACUAUGUUUGAUAACUAGAGAUAGAUAGGGUAAGGGCUUGAAAUUAUCCUAAGGGGAAGGUGUUAGGCACCCCUCAGGAUCCACUAGUGUGGUUCUCGGCCAGAAAGUUUUUGUGAAUUUGUGCAAUUAGCAAAUAAACAAGUAGAGGCUCAAAUAAUAGGGGAUUUAAGUUUAAAUACUCAGGUGUCUGAAAACGAUUAAGGAAAACAAGGUUUUGAAAAGAGUUACAACCUAAGGGUGAUUAUGAAUGUAAAAGGGGUGUCCUAGGUUUGUUUGUAAUAUGGAUCACAUCAAUGCAAUACCCGGUAUAACACCCCUCAAAAGAGGGGAUACACGUGGUAUUAGCGCACCGGUUAUCAUAUCCAUAUCUACCCUCCCCACCCCGUGAAGGUAAUUAAAGCGAGGGUUGGUCUCGACCACUAUUGCAUGCUGUUACCCGUCCCUUUCUAUCAGUCCCGGAGGAAUUUAAGACUCCUAUCCUAUAAGAAGGAAGUUCUAGGCAGACCCUUAGGCAAAAUACUAAUGCGACAUACAAAACAAGUAUGACUGCAUUUAAAGGGGGAAAACAUAAAAAACAAGCAGAAGGCUCAGUUAUACCUCCACAGAUAAUGCACAUAGAUAGCAUGACUAUACAUAGUUAAGGUUUGAAUUUAAAAUCCUAAAGCAGGGUGUUUAAGUGGUAACAUCAGAACCAAAUUUAUUACAUGACUCUGAAAAGAAGUCCGAAUCAGGUUUGCCUACUGAUUUUAACAGUUGAUAAUUAAACAAAGGCAAUUCCAGCUUUAUUUAAGUCAUUACCUAAGGCAUGCCUAGGCACAAAACGAGAUGCAGCAGUUGUUCCAUGUCAUUAAGACAGUUUGGAGAUUAUUUUUAUUACCUAAAACAUGUUGUUCUAGUUGUAAAGAUUAUUGCCAAUUUUAUUUAGAAAACAUCACAAUGUGAAAAUUAUUACUUUACUACUCCUUUCAUGAAUCAAUAAUUAACUAGGCAUCUUAAACGAAAAUGCAAACAAGAUCCUAGAACAUGGUAUCUAAUAUGCACAUGCAAAUUGCAAGGUUGUUGAAAACAGAAUCGUUAAGGCAUGAUUUCUAAAUGUACACAAGACUUGUAGAAUUUUUGAAAUAACAGCUUUUUAUACCAGUGUUGUUAUUGCCCUAGGAGCAGGAUUUCUAAGUGAUAGACAUAAAGCAUGGACUAAUGAAUAAAGUGCUGAAGCAAGAAACAUAGGUCCUAAGAACAUAAUUUUCUAAUGCAUGUAUGAAUCCUAAACAUGGUUUCUAGUGCACAAUUAGGAGUAUAAGCCUAAUAACAUGCUUUCUAUCCUUUAACAAUUAUAGCAUGCAUAUUUUCCAUCCCUUUUCACUAGACACCCCAAUACUUGUUUACAAAUUAUUACUAACCAUGAUAGAAUUACAUAAGAAAUGAAAAUUAAGAAGUUACAACUACAUGAAACCUGAUUCUGACUUCCUCUCUGAGUUAUGUAAUGAAUCGCCUCAAAUGCCAAUGUUGUUCCAAAGCCUUUCUCAUAAAUGGGUGUGUCAGAGUUCCUUAAGGACCUCAAGGGGUCCUGAGAAGUGCUCACACCCAAAUUGCAUAGCCAAGAGUAAAUGUAGUGUGGAAGGGCCAACUCUUAUGUGUCCAGGUUCAGAGGGAGCUCAAGGGUCCCAAAGUAAGGCUCACAUAAGAGGGGCAGAACCUAAUGAUCUAAGAGUGCAUGUGAGAGUGCUUGAAGCAGUUUUAAAAACAACAUGUUUGAAAUAAGUUUGUAGAACAACAGAAGAGUGUUUAAAAGGAGCAAGGAAUAAAAGCAAAAACACACAUACAGAACCAGUUUAGAGAGUAGCACAACUUCAGCAAUUACAAACAGGGGAGUAGGGGUUGGGGACAUAGAGGACCCAAAUUAGAAACACAUAAUUAAUCAUGAAUCAAGUACAUUAGGAGACAUACUGGUUGAGAGACAUAAACAGGAAUAAGUAAACAUGCUAAUUACAUUUGAACAAAAGAGGGCAGAAUUUUAAGUAUGCUAAGUAAAACAAUAAACAAAAAGUGCAACAGCAUGAGCCAUUAAGUCAGUGCAGAAAGAGAUAGUGAUUGACAAUAAGGGAACACAUAGGUUUGAGUUUCAGAAUUUAAACUAGGGACAUACCAGUUGAAGAGGCAAAGUGCAGGAAAAGAGAAGUAAAGCAAUCAGAAUUCCACAGUCUAGCCUUGAUUUUCAGCCGACUAGACAAGGCAGUAGCAUAAGUAGUAGAGAAAGAAAGAGAGUUUGAAUGUGUAAGCGUGUGUUUUGAACUCAGUUGUUCGUGUCUUGUUAAUGAAAAACUUAAAGAAGAGAGGGUAGAUUAUUUAUAGCUUUGAAAACAAGUAGAAAAUAAAGUAACAAGUAAAGUUUUAGCACAAAUAUGGAAGCAAUCACAAUCAGAGUUAAUUAAUACAAGUACCUCCUCUUAAUCAAGGAGUUACAGCUCAAACAGAUACUACAAGGAUAAUUAAGGAAAGAAAAUCAGUUUGAGAAUGAUUAAUUUUUACCAUAUAAGGGGUGGUAAAAGUAUAGAUUAUGUAAUUGAGUCUAAGUACAUAAUAUACUUAAUUUGGGGAAAGUAUUCAGUAGGGGUGAAACAUCACAAUAAAUAAGGGAAGAGAAUCAAUCAACUUAAACAAACGAGUAAAAUUUUAGGGGUUUAUAAGAAAACCUUUGCAAUCAGUCGUAACUUGAGGAAAUCAAGAUCAAUCAAGAAGGAAUCAUGAUUCUACACUUCGACAUAUAAAUAAAGAAGAAUUAAAAGAGUAUCAGACAUGCGAGGCCAACCAUAUUGGCAAAAGAGGCGACUAGAUGAACACAAACAUACAACAUUAACAAGAGCAGGUUAAAGACUCAUUAGCAAAAGAACCUACUCAAAGCAUGGUAGUCAAUAAAGCCAAGUAGUCAUGGCUAACACAUAGAACCAGAGUGGAAAACCAAAUUAACAGGUAAGAAGGUCAGAAACAAGUAAAGAAAGCCUUUAAACUCAUAGUAAUAAGUGAAGAAAAGCUUUUAAGAAAUUAGGGUUUCAACAAUAGUCGAGUUAAAAAAUGGUAAGGGAUCAGAAUCAGUCAACAAAGAAGAGUAUCUAAACAAAAAGAACUCAAUCGAAACAAGUAUAUAUACAAAACAAACAAAGACAGUUCCAAAACCUCGGAUAAAACCAAAGGUACUUAGGGUUUUCAACGCGAUGAGUCAGGUAGAGGAAAAAUAUAAACAAACCAUUUAAACAGAGUCAAAUUAUAAGAUAAUACUGAAAAAUCAAAGGAGAAGUCUUUUAGAAAAGAUUAAGAAAACCCUAAUCGUUAAAGACAGAGAGUCUCAAUGAAAGAAAUCAGAAAACGUUUGAGAAAACACCAAGAAGUUCAUAACAUGCACAGAUCUAAGACAAAUCUGAAAGAAAAUCGGAAAGCUCUUAAAGCUAGUGUUUCAGAGAACCCAAAAAAAGUGAAAAGACUUCGAAAAGUUACCGAUCUAGCCGGAAAAGCCAUGGAUCUGACUCGAACGGCCAUGGAUGGCCGGAAAAAGGACCAUGGAUAGAAGUUGAGCAAGGUCUGGACUAGAUUUCUUCGAUAUCUUUCCAUGAAAUCACGAAAAUAGGCAACCAGUAGACAUAGGAGACUGGUAUACGUCUCAAAUUGCCAUGGGAGUCCAUGGAUUGAGUGAGAAUCAAAGGGGAUUAGGGUUAGUUUGGGUGGCGGUGGCUAGGGUUUGGGUGAGGUUGCAGAGAGAGUUGGAGAGGAAGGGGAUUCAAGGGCGGCGAGUUAG
rnacentral:lncRNA from 1 species